rnacentral:rRNA from 1 species
AGAGUUUGAUCCUGGCUCAGGAUGAACGCUAGCGGCAGGCCUAACACAUGCAAGUCGAGGGGCAGCACGGUGUAGCAAUACACUGGUGGCGACCGGCGCACGGGUGCGUAACGCGUAUGCAACCUACCCAUAACAGGGGGAUAACACUGAGAAAUUGGUACUAAUACCCCAUAACAUCAGGACCGGCAUCGGUUCUGGUUGAAAACUCCGGUGGUUAUGGAUGGGCAUGCGUUGUAUUAGCUGGUUGGUGAGGUAACGGCUCACCAAGGCAACGAUACAUAGGGGGACUGAGAGGUUAACCCCCCACAUUGGUACUGAGACACGGACCAAACUCCUACGGGAGGCAGCAGUGAGGAAUAUUGGUCAAUGGACGCAAGUCUGAACCAGCCAUGCCGCGUGCAGGAAGACGGCUCUAUGAGUUGUAAACUGCUUUUGUACGAGGGUAAACGCUCUUACGUGUAAGAGCCUGAAAGUAUCGUACGAAUAAGGAUCGGCUAACUCCGUGCCAGCAGCCGCGGUAAUACGGAGGAUUCAAGCGUUAUCCGGAUUUAUUGGGUUUAAAGGGUGCGUAGGCGGUUUGAUAAGUUAGAGGUGAAAUUUCGGGGCUCAACCCUGAACGUGCCUCUAAUACUGUUGAGCUAGAGAGUAGUUGCGGUAGGCGGAAUGUAUGGUGUAGCGGUGAAAUGCUUAGAGAUCAUACAGAACACCGAUUGCGAAGGCAGCUUACCAAACUAUAUCUGACGUUGAGGCACGAAAGCGUGGGGAGCAAACAGGAUUAGAUACCCUGGUAGUCCACGCAGUAAACGAUGAUAACUCGUUGUCGGCGAUACACAGUCGGUGACUAAGCGAAAGCGAUAAGUUAUCCACCUGGGGAGUACGUUCGCAA